rnacentral:rRNA from 1 species
UGGGGAAUAUUGGACAAUGGGCGAAAGCCUGAUCCAGCCAUGCCGCGUGUGUGAAGAAGGUCUUCGGAUUGUAAAGCACUUUAAGUUGGGAGGAAGGGCAGUAAGCGAAUACCUUGCUGUUUUGACGUUACCGACAGAAUAAGCACCGGCUAACUCUGUGCCAGCAGCCGCGGUAAUACAGAGGGUGCAAGCGUUAAUCGGAAUUACUGGGCGUAAAGCGCGCGUAGGUGGUUCGUUAAGUUGAAUGUGAAAGCCCCGGGCUCAACCUGGGAACUGCAGCCAAAACUGGCGAGCUAGAGUAGGGCAGAGGGUGGUGGAAUUUCCUGUGUAGCGGUGAAAUGCGUAGAUAUAGGAAGGAACACCAGUGGCGAAGGCGACCACCUGGGCUCAUACUGACACUGAGGUGCGAAAGCGUGGGGAGCAAACAGA